rnacentral:ncRNA from 1 species
UCCUCCCAAGUCUGUGGUUGCGGGCAGCUUGAACAGCAUGUCCUAGUCCAUGGCAGAUGCGGUCGAAAGGAUCCACGUAAACGGCCGAGGCAACUCGGUCGCGAGCAUGGCGCAUCUUAGGGGUAAGACGUACCGUCCGUUAUGGGCGCAUAGGGCGCCCCGGGCGAGAAAGUGAGUAGUGAGAUCGUAUCAGGCGAAAGCUUCGGUAUGCGAGUGUGGGGUCAAAAACCAGGUCAGUUGGGGGGA